GACGGAGGGUGCAAGCGUUGUUCGGAUUGACUGGGCGUAAAGGGCGUGUAGGCGGUCGGCCAAGUCUGAUGUGAAAGGCCCGAGCCUCAGCCUCGGAAGUGCGUCGGAAACUAGCGGCUGGAGCGCGAUAGAGGAGGGUGGAAUUCCUGGUGUAGCGGUGAAAUGCGUAGAUAUCAGGAGGAACACCGGCGGCGAAGGCGGCCCUCUGGAGUCGUGCUACGCUGAUACGCGAAAGCGUGGGGAGCAAACAGG
rnacentral:rRNA from 1 species